AUGGCUCAGAUUGAACGCUGGCGGCAGGCCUAACACAUGCAAGUCGAACGGUAACAGGAAGCAGCUUGCUUCUUGCUGACGAGUGGCGGACGGGUGAGUAAUGUCUGGGAAACUGCCUGAUGGAGGGGGAUAACUACUGGAAACGGUAGCUAAUACCGCAUAACGUCGCAAGACCAAAGAGGGGGACCUUCGGGCCUCUUGCCAUCGGAUGUGCCCAGAUGGGAUUAGCUGUGGUGGGGUAACGGCUCACCAGGCGACGAUCCCUAGCUGGUCUGAGAGGAUGACCAGCCACACUGGAACUGAGACACGGUCCAGACUCCUACGGGAGGCAGCAGUGGGGAAUAUUGCACAAUGGGCGCAAGCCUGAUGCAGCCAUGCCGCGUGUAUGAAGAAGGCCUUCGGGUUGUAAAGUACUUUCAGCGGGGAGGAAGGGAGUAAAGUUAAUACCUUUGCUCAUUGACGUUACCCGCAGAAGAAGCACCGGCUAACUCCGUGCCAGCAGCCGCGGUAAUACGGAGGGUGCAAGCGUUAAUCGGAAUUACUGGGCGUAAAGCGCACGCAGGCGGUUUGUUAAGUCAGAUGUGAAAUCCCCGGGCUCAACCUGGGAACUGCAUCUGAUACUGGCAAGCUUGAGUCUCGUAGAGGGGGGUAGAAUUCCAGGUGUAGCGGUGAAAUGCGUAGAGAUCUGGAGGAAUACCGGUGGCGAAGGCGGCCCCCUGACGAAG
rnacentral:rRNA from 1 species